rnacentral:rRNA from 1 species
AGAGUUUGAUCCUGGCUCAGGACGAACGCUGGCGGCGUGCCUAAUACAUGCAAGUCGAGCGAAUCACUUCGGUGGUUAGCGGCGGACGGGUGAGUAACACGUGGGCAACCUGCCUGUAAGACUGGGAUAACACCGGGAAACCGGUGCUAAUACCGGAUAAUCCUUUUUCUCUCAUGAGGAAAAGCUGAAAGACGGUUUCGGCUGUCACUUACAGAUGGGCCCGCGGCGCAUUAGCUAGUUGGUGAGGUAACGGCUCACCAAGGCGGCGAUGCGUAGCCGACCUGAGAGGGUGAUCGGCCACACUGGGACUGAGACACGGCCCAGACUCCUACGGGAGGCAGCAGUAGGGAAUCUUCCACAAUGGACGAAAGUCUGAUGGAGCAACGCCGCGUGAGCGAGAAGGCCUUCGGGUCGUAAAGCUCUGUUGUUAGGGAAGAACAAGUACCGGAGUAACUGCCGGUACCUUGACGGUACCUAACCAGAAAGCCACGGCUAACUACGUGCCAGCAGCCGCGGUAAUACGUAGGUGGCAAGCGUUGUCCGGAAUUAUUGGGCGUAAAGCGCGCGCAGGCGGUCCUUUAAGUCUGAUGUGAAAGCCCACGGCUCAACCGUGGAGGGUCAUUGGAAACUGGGGGACUUGAGUGCAGAAGAGGAAAGCGGAAUUCCACGUGUAGCGGUGAAAUGCGUAGAGAUGUGGAGGAACACCAGUGGCGAAAGCGGCUUUCUGGUCUGUAACUGACGCUGAGCGCGAAGGCGUGGGGAGCAAACAGGAUUAGAUACCCUGGUAGUCCACGCCGUAAACGAUGAGUGCUAAGUGUUAGAGGGUUUCCGCCCUUUAGUGCUGAAGUUAACGCAUUAAGCACUCCGCCUGGGGAGUACU